rnacentral:rRNA from 1 species
UACGUAGGGGGGCUAGCGUUGUCCGGAAUCAUUGGGCGUAAAGAGCGUGUAGGCGGUCCGGUAAGUCCGCUGUGAAAGUCGGGGGCUCAACCCUCGAAUGCCGGUGGAUACUGUCGAGCUAGAGUGCGGAAGAGGCGAGUGGAAUUCCUGGUGUAGCGGUGAAAUGCGCAGAUAUCAAGAGGAACACCUGAGGUGAAGACGGGUUGCUGGGCUGACACUGACGCUGAGUGCGCGAAAGCCAGGGGAGCAAACGGG